rnacentral:lncRNA from 1 species
UUUAUAUAUAUAUAAAAUAAUUUAGUUGUUUUAAAUUAAAAUUUUUAAUUAUAUAGAAAUAUAAUUAUAUAUAUAUAUAUUUAUUUAUUAUGUAUUAUAUAUAUUAUUCACUUUCUGCUAAACAAACAGCAGAAUGAACUAAAAAAACUUCACUUCCAUGACUAUUGAAAAAAUAAUAAAAAAAUAAUUUUUACCGAACCUUACUCUAAUUAAAAUUUACUUCAACUCAAAAUUUAGUUUCGAUACCGACCGUUUCUAGCACAAGUGGCAAAAGGUUUGGUGGUUGGUAUCAGAAGUCCCAAGUUCAAAUUCUAGUUGAUUUACAUUUUUAGCUAAGUUUAUUUUUAAAUAAAAUAAACGAAACAGAUAGCAUGCUAUCUAUCUCUAAAAA